rnacentral:rRNA from 1 species
UACGUAGGGUGCAAGCGUUACUCGGAAUUACUGGGCGUAAAGCGUGCGCAGGCGGUUCUAUAAGACAGAUGUGAAAUCCCCGGGCUCAACCUGGGAACUGCAUUUGUGACUGUAGAGCUGGAGUACGGCAGAGGGGGAUGGAAUUCCGCGUGUAGCAGUGAAAUGCGUAGAUAUGCGGAGGAACACCGAUGGCGAAGGCAAUCCCCUGGGCCUGUACUGACGCUCAUGCACGAAAGCGUGGGGAGCAAACAGG